AUGAACCGGGUGAACCAGGUGGCUGGGGAACUGAAGGGGGACCCCUUCAGUCCUUCGCCAUUCACUUUCCCCUCCACUCACACACCCCCCUUUAUAUUCCGCUUCACGUGGGGUGCGGGGCGGGAGGGAGGGGAGCCCAGGAGGGGGCGGGGGAGGCGAGGAGAAGCGAGAAAUGCCCACCUUCUUUGGCCAACUCCGGAGCCAGCUCAGCCCCCUCCUCCCGCGGCGGCGGCCACUGCAAAGCCCCGCCGCUCGCCCUGCACCGAGGCAGCGCGGAGCGAGCGGUCGCCCGGCCCUCGCCACCCCCGGCGCCGCGGCCGCCGGCGAGCCCCGAGCUCAGCGUCGCUCCAACCUCCCCUGCCGGCGCGGCCGGCCCCGCUCGGGCCUCCCCCGCGGCCCGCGGCCCCUCUCAAACCCCCUGGGCUCGCGACGGCUGCUCCGGGAGGAAAGACUGGCCGCGGCUGGGACCCGGGCGGCGCGGCGGCGAGCGGGAGGCGGCGACGGCGACGGCGGCGGAGGGGCCCCGGUACGGUGAGCCCAGCAACGCGCGCGCGGGCGGCGCGCAGAGACGCCGGGUCCUCGCGGAGCGCGGCCGGGGCGCGGCGGCGGCAGUGGUGGCGGCGGCAGCGGGAGCCCAGGGACCGCUCCAUCACUGGCAGCCAUGGAGCCCGAGCAUUUUCCUCCCUCGGGGUAGGCGCUCGGCUCCGGCACACGUCCUCAGGGAGGAAGAGGGCGCCGGCGCCCGGGCUGCUCCGGCGGGCGGCGGGACGUGCGCGGGAGCGGAGGGGCGAGCUCGCGUCCUCUUCUCAGCCCGCCGGCUGCCUCGGCACCGUGCUGCUCCCGCGGCCGGGAGGGAGGGAGGGACGGAGAGGGGGAGGUAGGGAGGGGGGCCGCGGGCGACGGCGACGGCGGCGGCGCGGCGGUGGCGGUGGCUCCUUUCGCGGUGGUGGUAGCGGCGGCGGCGGCGGCGGCCAGACGGGGCUGGUGCAGCGACUGCAGCCGACGCCGUUCAAAGAAAUGAGAGGAAAGGUCUUGCUUGCCCUUGUCAAAGGCUGUGUGUCCCGUCUCUGAAGAGUAGCAGCACAUGAGUCUCACCUUAAAGCAUUUGUUCUGUCAUACAGCUGUGCUGGACUGGUUCGUGGGGGCCAUUAUGCUUUUGUGGAGAUCCCUCUGCAGUGCAGUAAGAAGAGAACCAACAGGAAGUUCUUUUGAGUGCAAAGGUGAAGAAAGGAGGCAGAAAUCCUAUGUAUGUAGAAGAGACCAUCAACUAAGUCAACAACAACGUAGGGCUUGGUUAUCAAUUACACACUUAGGAAGCAAGGUCAGAGGUGCAACUUGAGAUGGUUGUCAGGUGGUGGGGCCACAUGCUGAAGGACAGAUCGUAGAGAAUAUGGAAACUGAGGCAUAAGACAAACACCACUAGUUUAUCACUGGACAUGCUGAGUUGAGGUUCUGUAGGACUUAGAUGGAUAUAGGAUUAGUAUCCUCAGGGAUAAGGGACCCCUAAAAUAGUCAAUGAGGUCUCAGAGGGAAGCAGAAGACCCAAAUAUCCAUACAUGAAAGAAGCAGGAAUUUUAAAAAGUCAUCAGCAUUUAACACCCAUGAUGUCUUGGUUCAGUUCUCAGCACUGACCAAAUGAGAAAGACAUUAAGAACCAAGGAUAAGGUCUGUUCUACAGAAUGGAGUUUGUGUAAGUUGUCAAGAAUAACACCCACUUUAAGAACCAAGUGAGAUUUAGAAGGCAGUGAGAGGUAAAACUGACUACUAUGCUGGGAAUUGAUUGGUGUUCCAUGACAAAAAUAAGUACAACACACCCAAAUACUGGAUGAUAGUUCGUGUAAACAACAGAAAUAUCAUCUGCCAGAUUGCGUACACCCAUAUAGAAGGGGUUAUGAUAGUCUGUGCAGCGUGUACAUGGGAACUGCCAAAGAGCAGUGUGAAAGUUGGCCUAACAAAUCAUGCUGCAGCCUACUGUAUUGUCCUGCAGGCUUCUCGGGAAGUUUUGUAUGGACAAGAUCUAUGAAGGCCAAGUGGAGGUGACUGGAGAGCAAUGCAAUGUGGAGAGCAUUGAUGGUCAGCCUGGUGCCUUCACUUGAUAUUUGGAUGCAGGUCUUGCCUGAACUACAACUGGCAAUAAAAUUUUGGGGACCCUGAAGGAAGCUGUAGAU
rnacentral:lncRNA from 1 species